GGGGAAUCUUCCGCAAUGGACGAAAGUCUGACGGAGCAACGCCGCGUGAGUGAUGACGGCCUUCGGGUUGUAAAGCUCUGUUAAUCGGGACGAAUGGUUCUUGUGCAAAUAGUGCGAGGAUCUGACGGUACCGGAAUAGAAAGCCACGGCUAACUACGUGCCAGCAGCCGCGGUAAUACGUAGGUGGCAAGCGUUGUCCGGAAUUAUUGGGCGUAAAGCGCGCGCAGGCGGAUUGGUCAGUCUGUCUUAAAAGUUCGGGGCUUAACCCCGUGAUGGGAUGGAAACUGCCAAUCUAGAGUAUCGGAGAGGAAAGUGGAAUUCCUAGUGUAGCGGUGAAAUGCGUAGAUAUUAGGAAGAACACCAGUGGCGAAGGCGACUUUCUGGACGAAAACUGACGCUGAGGCGCGAAAGCCAGGGGAGCGAACGGGAUUAGAUACCCCGGUAGUCCUGGCCGUAAACGAUGGGUACUAGGUGUAGGAGGUAUCGACCCCUUCUGUGCCGGAGUUAACGCAAUAAGUACCCCGCCUGGGGAGUACGACCGCAAGGUUG
rnacentral:rRNA from 1 species